ensembl:rRNA 5S_rRNA 5S ribosomal RNA
GCCUACGGCCAUACCACCCUGAAUGCCCCCAAUCAUCUGAUCUUGGAAGUCGAGCAGGGUCGGGCCUGGUUAGUACUUGGGUAGGAGAUUUCCAGGGACUGAACAUGCCACCUGAGGAG